GCGGAUGUGGCGGAAUUGGUAGACGCGCACGGUUCAGGGCCGUGUGGGCGCAAGCCCGUGGAGGUUCAAGUCCUCUCAUCCGCA
rnacentral:tRNA from 1 species